rnacentral:rRNA from 1 species
UACGGAGGGUGCAAGCGUUAUCCGGAUUCACUGGGUUUAAAAGGGUGUGUAGGCGGGCUGUUAAGUCAGUGGUGAAAUCUCCGGGCUCAACCCGGAAACUGCCAUUGAUACUAUCAGUCUUGAAUAUUGUUGAGGUGGGCGGAAUAUGUCAUGUAGCGGUGAAAUGCAUAGAGAUGACAUAGAACACCGAUUGCGAAGGCAGCUCACUAAACAUGUAUUGACGCUGAGGCACGAAAGCGUGGGGAUCAAACAGG